rnacentral:rRNA from 1 species
GACGAACGCUGGCGGCGUGCUUAACACAUGCAAGUCGAACGGAAAGGCCCUGCUUGCAGGGUACUCGAGUGGCGAACGGGUGAGUAACACGUGGGUGAUCUGCCCUGCACUUCGGGAUAAGCCUGGGAAACUGGGUCUAAUACCGGAUAGGAGCCAUUUUUAGUGUGAUGGUUGGAAAGUUUUUUCGGUGUAGGAUGAGCUCGCGGCCUAUCAGCUUGUUGGUGGGGUAAUGGCCUACCAAGGCGGCGACGGGUAGCCGGCCUGAGAGGGUGGACGGCCACAUUGGGACUGAGAUACGGCCCAGACUCCUACGGGAGGCAGCAGUGGGGAAUAUUGCACAAUGGGCGCAAGCCUGAUGCAGCGACGCCGCGUGGGGGAUGACGGCCUUCGGGUUGUAACUCCUUUCGCUAGGGACGAAGCUUUUUGUGACGGUAUCUAGAUAAGAAGCACCGGCUAACUACGUG